GAGUGCAGCGCGCGGGACAAGCCUCGAUCUGGGUGCCUGGAAAAUGUCCUCCUAUUUACCCAACAGGAAUGAAGCUCUGAAGGAUGCUUUAGUUUGCUGCAUUCGUGUGUGUGUGUACUUAACCCUUUAGAGGCUGAAAGAGUUGGGCUUCGUCUCAAUGCCUUUGUUAAAGCCUUUUCUUCUGGCCACCACUAGGAAUUGUCACCGCUUCCCAGCUCCAGAGAUCUCCCCUGCCUGUACCCCCACAGGAGAUCUGAGCUCCUUCUGAUGAUUAAUAAAUGCUGUUUGCUCACAGAAUAACAA